CCUACGGGUGGCAGCAGUGAGGAAUAUUGGUCAAUGGCCGGAAGGCUGAACCAGCCAAGUCGCGUGAGGGACGACUGCCCUAUGGGUUGUAAACCUCUUUUAUAAGGGAAGAAUAAAUGCUACGUGUAGCAUGAUGCCUGUACCUUAUGAAUAAGCAUCGGCUAACUCCGUGCCAGCAGCCGCGGUAAUACGGAGGAUGCGAGCGUUAUCCGGAUUUAUUGGGUUUAACGGGUGCGUAGGCGGGCUUUUAAGUCAGCGGUAAAAAUUCGGGGCUCAACCCCGUCCGGCCGUUGAAACUGGGGGCCUUGAGUGGGCGAGAAGAAGGCGGAAUGCGUGGUGUAGCGGUGAAAUGCAUAGAUAUCACGCAGAACCCCGAUUGCGAAGGCAGCCUUCCGGCGCCCUACUGACGCUGAGGCACGAAAGUGCGGGGAUCGAACAGGAUUAGAUACCCGUGUAGUC
rnacentral:rRNA from 1 species